rnacentral:rRNA from 1 species
ACAACAGCUAUAAUUUACUUGAUCUUGACAAUCCUACUUGGAUAACUGUGGUAAUUCUAGAGCUAAUACAUGCACCAAAGCUCUGACCUUACGGGAAGAGUGCAUUUAUUAGAACAAAACCAAGCGGCUUCGGUCGUUUUUUGUUGACUCAGAAUAACUAAGCUGAUCGCAUGGUCUUGUACCGGCGACGUGUCUUUCGAGUAUCUGCCUUAUCAACUUUCGAUGGUAGUGUAUCUGACUACCAUGGUUGUGACGGGUAACGGAGGAUAAGAGUUCGACUCCAGAGAAGGGGCCUGAGAAAUGGCCACUACGUCUAAGGAUGGCAGCAGGCGCGCAAAUUACCCACUCUCAGAACGAGGAGGUAGUGACGAGAAAUAACGAGACCGUUCUCUACGAGGCCGGUCAUCGGAAUGGGUACAAUCUAAACCCUUUAACGAGUAUCUAUGAGAGGGCAAGUCUGGUGCCAGCAGCCGCGGUAAUUCCAGCU